CUCUGAAUGCCAUCACUAAAAUGCACCUGUCCUGCCUCACCUGUCCCUUGCAGCCCAUGUGGGGAGCAGCAGGGAGGAAAAUCAGACCUGGAGCCCAUUCAAAGGCAGAAACGGCAUGCUGCCCUCCCCAGGGAUCCCUCAGAGGCUGCUGGAUGUGCCAGUGGAGCUGGAAGGAGCCCAUCAUCCCAAGGGUGGCUCUGCAGCUGCUCUCCUGCUGUCCCCUUUGGUGUGACAAUGACGUGGGGACAGGGCACAGACCUGGCAUGGAGGCUGCACCCCAAAACCCUCUCUGAGAGGGAUCAUUACUGCUGCUGCUUCCUCUUUUUAUUGUCUGGAUGCUCGCAGUCACGAGCUCUGGAAUGCUGGACCACGAGAGGACACUUUGCUGAUCACCUUCCUUCAUUAAGAAAACUUAAUUUUAGUGCUGAUGGGAAAUUGGAUUAAAGAAAAUAAACCACCCAAAAACAGCCA
rnacentral:lncRNA from 1 species